CUCUAACUGACGAGUCCUAAAUACGACGAGACACGCGUCCUAGAU
rfam:Schistosoma mattheei strain Denwood, Zambia genome assembly, scaffold: SMTD_contig0002581